UUCCAGGAAGAAGAAACAACUGGCAUCAGCAAAGAUCUGGAGUCAUGAAACUACCCCCGAGGAUGGCUGGGAAAAGAAGAUCCAGGAACUGCUGGUGUCUGUACUAGUUACCGCCCUGAUAGGAAAGGCAGAAGCCAUAGCUCUCACCAAACCUCCAGCAUUUAAACUUUGCUGUGGAGUCUACGUGACCCCACCACGAGGUGACCCUCACCUUUCCCUCCAUACCUGGGGAGACAGACAUGGCAGUGGUCACUGAACCCUGGGAUGACACGCUACCUCAUCCUUUAUGACACCCUUUGAUAUGUUGCUUUUGAUGCAUUUCUUUGUAUCCCAUUUGGUUUCAUUUUUAGCAAUAAACUCAUUCUUGGUA
rnacentral:lncRNA from 1 species